rnacentral:rRNA from 1 species
AGAUUUUGUCCUUCGGGUACAAUUGAGACAGGUGGUGCAUGGUUGUCGUCAGCUCGUGUCGUGAGAUGUUGGGUUAAGUCCCGCAACGAGCGCAACCCUUGCCCUUAGUUACCAGCACGUUAUGGUGGGCACUCUAAGGAGACUGCCGGUGACAAACCGGAGGAAGGUGGGGAUGACGUCAAGUCAUCAUGGCCCUUACGGCCUGGGCUACACACGUGCUACAAUGGUCGGUACAAAGGGUUGCCAAGCCGCGAGGUGGAGCUAAUCCCAUAAAACCGAUCGUAGUCCGGAUCGCAGUCUGCAACUCGACUGCGUGAAGUCGGAAUCGCUAGUAAUCGUGAAUCAGAAUGUCACGGUGAAUACGUUCCCGGGCCUU